GUGGGGUGCUCGAGUGGCGAACGGGUGAGUAACACGUGAGUAACCUGCCCUUGACUUUGGGAUAACUUCAGGAAACUGGGGCUAAUACCGGAUAGGAGCUCCUGCUGCAUGGUGGGGGUUGGAAAGUUUCGGCGGUUGGGGAUGGACUCGCGGCUUAUCAGCUUGUUGGUGGGGUAGUGGCUUACCAAGGCUUUGACGGGUAGCCGGCCUGAGAGGGUGACCGGCCACAUUGGGACUGAGAUACGGCCCAG
rnacentral:rRNA from 1 species